GGGGUCGUGGCUCCGAGGUAGAACAUCUGCUUGGCAUGCAGAAAGUCCCAAGUUCAAUCCCCGGCAUCUCCG
rnacentral:tRNA from 1 species